rnacentral:rRNA from 1 species
UGAGCAAUCUGCCCUUCUCAUCGGAAUAAGCGUUGGAAACGACGUCUAAUGCCGAAUACGACCUCCUUUCGCAUGAUUGGAGGUGGAAAGCUCCGGCGGAGAAGGAUGAGCUCGCGGCCUAUCAGCUAGUUGGUGUGGGUAACGGCCCACCAAGGCGACGACGGGUAGCCGGCCUGAGAGGGUGACCGGCCACACUGGGACUGAGACACGGCCCAGACUCCGUACGGGAGGNAGCG